rnacentral:ribozyme from 15 species
GGAAGGAAGGAACGAGGGAACAAUGUGUCACGUACAAUCUCUGUCGUCUUGUUUGUCCAUUUUCGUUCUUCCAUUCUUGUUUCCUUCAAAGAGAAACUACUUGUUCCUCCUCCAAGACACAGUUGGCUGUUGCAAGUACGGAACAUAGUAGUGUACUGUAAUCUCAUCAACAUUGUUAGAUUUCUUCUAGAGUAUUACUAAGACAGUGCCUCAUUCACUGUAGCUUCUGUGUUACUUUCUU